GGGCCGCACGCGCGCUACACUGACGGAGCCAGCGAGUCUAACCUAGGCCGAGAGGUCUUGGUAAUCUUGUGAAACUCCGUCGUGCUGGGGAUAGAGCAUUGUAAUUGUUGCUCUUCAACGAGGAAUUCCUAGUAAGCGCAAGUCAUCAGCUUGCGUUGAUUACGUCCC
rnacentral:rRNA from 1 species